CAGCCGCCGCGGUAAUACCAGCACCUCGAGUGGUCAGGAGGUUUAUUGGGCCUAAAGCAUCCGUAGCCGGUUGCAUAAGUUUUCGGUUAAAUCUAUGCGCUUAACGUAUAGGCCGCCGAAAAUACUGUGCAGCUAGGGAGUGGGAGAGGUACACGGUACUCGAUAGGAAGGGGGAAAAUCCUUUGAUCUAUUGAUGACCACCUGUGGCGAAGGUGGUGUACCAGAACACGUUCGACGGUGAGGGAUGAAAGCUGGGGGAGCAAACCGGAUUAGAUACCCCAGUAGUCCCUGUCUCUUAUAC
rnacentral:rRNA from 1 species